GACGUAGGGCGCGAGCGUUGUCCGGAUUUAUUGGGCGUAAAGAGCUCGUAGGCGGCUUGUCGCGUCGAAUGUGAAAUCUCGGGGCUCAACUCCGAGCUUGCAUUCGAUACGGGCAGGCUAGAGUUCGGUAGGGGAGACUGGAAUUCCUGGUGUAGCGGUGAAAUGCGCAGAUAUCAGGAGGAACACCGGUGGCGAAGGCGGGUCUCUGGGACGGUACUGACGCUGAGACGCGAAAGCGUGGGGAGCGAACAGG
rnacentral:rRNA from 1 species